rnacentral:sRNA from 1 species
UGAUUACGAGCCCACCGUUGACGUGCCG